GAAACUCAAAGGAAUUGACGGGGACACGCACAAGCAGUGGAGUAUGUGGUUUAAUUCGAAGCAACGCGAAGAACCUUACCAGGUCUUGACAUCCCUCUGAAUCGACUAGAGAUAGGCGCGGCCUUCGGGACAGAGGAUACAAGUGGUGCAUGGUAGUCGUCAGCUCGUGUCGUGAGCAGUUGGGUUAAGUCCCGCAACGAGCGCAACCCUUGACUUUAGUUGCCAGCAGGUAAAGCUGGGCACUCUAGAGUGACUGCCGGUGACAAACCGGACGAAGGUGGGGAUGACGUCAGAUCAUCAUGCCCCUUAUGACCUGGGCUACACACGUAAUACAAUGGCCGGUACAACGGGAAGCGAAGCCGCGAGGUGGAGCCAAUCUUAUAAAGCCGGUCUCAGUUCGGAUGGGUCUUGUACACACGC
rnacentral:rRNA from 1 species